rnacentral:rRNA from 1 species
GGACUACUGGGGUAUCUAAUCCUGUUUGCUCCCCACGCUUUCGUAGUUGAGUGUCAGUAGCUGUCCAGGUCGCCGCCUUCGCCUCUGGUGUUCCUCCCGAUCUCUACGCAUUUCACCGCUACACCGGGAAUUCCACGACCCUCUCCAGCACUCCAGUCUCACCGUUUCCGGGGCACUUCCAGGGUUAAGCCCUGGGCUUUCACCCCAGACAAAUGAGACCACCUACCUACCCUUUACGCCCAAUGAUUCCGAGCAACGCUUGCACCCUCUGUAUUACCGCGGCUGCUGGCAC